CAUGAGGAUCUAAAUGUGCAGGUUAGAGGAAGGGACAUGGUGGUGGAAGUAUUGUGGAGGAUUCUUCAUCCUCCACUCCUUUCAUGGUUUUGUUGGGCGAUUCUCUCCUCCUCGCUUUGAAGCUCUAUGGACAUUGCCGUGGGGCUUCUUUCUAUCACCGUUCUUCCUCCCUUCUUCUUUCUGAAGUCGGACUUCAUCCUCCUCGACCUGAGCAUCUCUUUGUGCUCAGGUUGUGAGGUUGGUGUUGUCCCCUAGAAAGUUCUCAUUGAGGG
rnacentral:lncRNA from 1 species